rnacentral:rRNA from 1 species
UACGUAGGGGGCGAGCGUUGUCCGGAAUUAUUGGGCGUAAAGAGCUCGUAGGCGGUGUGUCACGUCGAUCGUGAAAACUUGGGGCUUAACUCUGAGCUUGCGGUCGAUACGGGCAUCACUGGAGUUCGGCAGGGGAGACUGGAAUUCCUGGUGUAGCGGUGAAAUGCGCAGAUAUCAGGAGGAACACCGGUGGCGAAGGCGGGUCUCUGGGCCGAUACUGACGCUGAGGAGCGAAAGCGUGGGGAGCGAACAGG